rnacentral:tRNA from 1 species
AUUUAUAUAGCUUAUAUUUUAAAGCAAUUUAUUGAAGAUAAAAAAAACUACAUUUUCAUCAUGAAAUA